CACACCGCCCGUCACACCAUGGGAGUUUGUUGCACCAGAAGCAGGUAGCUUAACCGCAAGGGGGGCGCUUGCCACGGUGUGACCGAUGACUGGGGUG
rnacentral:rRNA from 1 species